AAUCCCAUUACCGUGAAGGCGGAGCUGUGACGGCGAGGGAAAUAUAGUACCGAAGUUCCUGAUUCCACACUGCCAAGAAAAGCCUCUAGCGAGAUUCAAGGUGCCCGUACCGCAAACCGACACAGGUAGGCGAGGAGAGAAUCCUAAGGUGAGCGAGAGAACUCUCGUUAAGGAACUCGGCAAAAUGCCCCCGUAACUUCGGGAGAAGGGGGGCCACGGCUGGUGAUCACCCUUGCGGUGUGAGCUGGUGGUGGCCGCAGAGACCAGCGAGAAGCGACUGUUUACUAAAAACACAGGUCCGUGCGAAGCCGUAAGGCGAUGUAUACGGACUGACGCCUGCCCGGUGCUGGAACGUUAAGGGGA
rnacentral:rRNA from 1 species